AUGCCGCAGCUGAGCCUGAGCACCAACGUGCCGGUGGACGCCGUCGCCGCCGCCGACAUACUCAGGGACUGCUCCAGGGCAUUCGCCAGGAUCAUCGGCAAGCCAGAAUCCGGGGAGAUCAUGUCCAUCGGGGGCCUCGGCCCGGGCGUCAACGGCAAGCUCAGCGCCGCCCUCGCCGACAUCCUCGAGGCCAAGCUCUCCGUCAGCGCCAGCAGGUUCUACGUCAAGUUCGACGAUGUCCAGGGGUACAAUGUGGGCUUCAACGGAACCACGUUCUAA
rnacentral:rRNA from 1 species